AUUGAAGGUGUCUGCCACAUCAGCAGUGGAUCUGAUCUUCAGCCUCUUGAUAAUCAGAACUUUGGUCUCAGGGUGAAUCUUAGGCAUGUUUGCAGAGGUCUAGUUGCAGUUGAUGUGAAGGUCUAGUGUACUGGGGUUGUUUUUAUACACACCUGAGACCUAAUUGAUCCAUUAUUGGUCACAAGUGAAGCUCAUAUGACAAGGCGACAACACUUAUGUCUUUGCAAAAAUUGACUCAAUGGGCUUUACCAAGCUGUGAAUAUUAGAAUACUUUUUGACAGUUUCGUUUUGCACUGAAACAUUAUUACAAAAGCUGUUGGGAUUAAAAUGAGCCAUUUCUUGUAAAGACAUACUGAUUAGAAAGAUAUUUCAGCUGCACUUCAGGUCAAUUUGUACACAAGCGACAUGACUUUUGUCAGGGACUGUAUAUGUUUUAUUGAAUAUGUGGCAUCAGUGCCACGUGUGAAAAACGUUUGUCUGAAGCCUUACCUUAAUCUCCAAAUUAGGACCAGUUAUAAUCAAAAACAAACUUGCUACCACACACCUGUUUCAUUUUAUUCAACCCUUUGUACGUGUGCAUGUCUGAUAUUGUUUUUUUCUGCAUUCUUUUCCGGACAUUGUAGGUUGUCUAUAUGUUCCUUUAUGGCUGAGUAGGAGGGGAGGCAGGACUUUAUUUCUGCACCAAGCUGCUUAGAAAUCUGGGAUAAUUUGUUGGUGAGACAGAAAGUGAAUGUUAAUAGCCCCAACAACCUUCUGCCCCGAAGUUCACGUUUCUCUGGUAAUCAGCAGCCACCAAGCAUUUUACCUUUGUUGUCUUCUGAUCUCAGACAUCAUCUCUUUCUCACAGUGAUACGGUCUUUGUAAUUUCAUUUUUUGAUUCUGAAAGGACAGUUUCAAGGAUGUGGCUGACACUUUUUGCCACACCUGCAUGCACACAGCAGAGGUAAACAUUUUAUAUGUUGAACUGUGUAUGUUUUCUUUCUCUUCGCCCUUCUUUUGUAUCAAAACUUGAACUGAUUAAAAGGC
ensembl:lncRNA